CUUUGCCGAGAUUUUCAUCUUCUUCUCCACUCGGCAAUCAAAGAGAUCCACUCCCGCGAGCUCAACCGUACCUCAGCUACGAGCUGAAAAUGUAAAACCUAAUUAAUUAAUCCCGUUCGGUUUUAUUUUCCCCAAAAUUUCCCUUUGUUAUUUCGGUGAUUUCUGAAUUAGUCUUAUGCUAAUGCCAUUAAUCGUAUCAGAUUGUUUGAAGUUCUAGGCGUCGAGAUUGUGCGGAAUUGGUCGAUUUUCGGUUCUCUCCGUGCUGGAUCUGGAGGUUUUUUUCUCGAAUUUUACCCUCAGUUCGGUUACGUUUGAGAAAAGAAAGGACGAGAAAAUUUGUUAUUCUCUCUGUAGUGUUUAUCUUACGUAGAAAAUUCAACUCCAAUUUCCUAAACAACCGCGUGGAGCUCAAUUGACCGGACUUUUCAAUUUCAAACAUACACACACAGACACGAACAUUCGUUUUUCAUUUUAUUUGCUAGCAAAAUCAGCUUUGUCGAACAUUUUGUCUCACAAAAUACUAAUUUAUCUUGUGGUCAGAUUAUGUUCAAUUUGCUUUAUUUAAGGUUUUUAUCACUAACAUAAGUUGUACUUUCUUUAGAAUUUGAUUGCUCCAUUGAAUUUGUUUUUACUUAAUAGAAAAAAAAAAAAGAAAAAAGAAAAGGCAGACGACUCAAUGUCAUAGAAAAUUGAAUACAUCAGAAUCAACACCGUCUUUUUCGUUUGCAAAAAAUUGGACUCAAAAGAAUCGUGCUUUGGUAUAGGACCUGAUUUGACCCACGAAUCUCAUGGGAGAAGAUGGAAGAAAAAGAAUUGCGUACUGAGGCUGGAAAUAGUUCUCUCUUGAGGAAAGUUUAAUUAGAGGUUUAUAUCAGGCAGAAAAGGAAUUCUUCUCCCCUCUACUGUGUGGGUGCUAAGACUAGUCGAAGAAUUAAACGAAUCGGUUUGCUUGGCCCACCCGAGCCUGCGGGCCUCUAGUUCUGAUUUUGCUAGCAUCCUUCCAUGACAGGCUGACUGAAGGAAGAUGCACCAGGAUAAUUACUUUCUGCUCCUUUUUUUUCCUUGCCAAUUAAACACUGAUGUUAAGAACGCUGAUGAGAGUGCAAAAUGUUUCGCAGUAUACAAUGCCCAUGAUUCUGGUGCAUAGUAGUUAUGUUUUAUGAGCUGUAGGCUGUAGCAACUGGCAUGGUAGUCCUCUUUCGAGAUCCGGUUUUCAACAUGCCAGCACCAUCUGACCAAUUGCUAUAUUUUGACCUUAUUAUAUAUGCUACUAUGCUCAUAUGGUUUUGUAUUUUUCUUCUUCUCAUUGUCCCUGUUUGCUCUUAUGGUAAAUGCAGUAUCUAAGGGAAGAGCUUUCUAGAAUAGAUGGGAGUUGGGCCGCCGCACGGUUCGAUUCAUUACCCCAUGUCGUACACAUUUUGACAUCUAAAGAUCGUGAAGGUGAAGUUCAGUUUUUGAAGGAGCAAAGUGACAUUAUUGAGGGGGUUGUGGAUGAAGUAGUGCAUGCCUAUCACAGUGGCUUCAACAAAGCAAUUCAAAUGCAUGCUUAUCACAGUGGCUUCAACAAAGCAAUUCAAAAUUAUUCCCAGAUCUUGCGCUUGUUCAGCAAAUCUACUGAAAGUAUAGGUGUCUUAAAGGUUGAUUUGGCUGAGACAAAGACACGUACGUGGUAUCAGUCAGUAAUGUUGCGUCACAUAAUUUCCCUGUCAGAUCGAGGGCAUAGAUAAGGUUCCAGCUCGUAUCGAGAAGCUCAUUGCUGACAAGCAGUUCUAUGCUACUGUUGAUCAGUUGCAUGUUCAAUCAACACUGAUGCUUGAGCCAACAUAUUGAAAACUAGUACUGGGUACCUUGCUGAAGCAUGGUGGGAUGAUGUCAAUGAAGACUGUCUAUCUAGCCGUCUGACUGAUUUUGUGUCCGGUGAUGCCAUAACACUUUUGGGCUGAGGCGAAUGGAUAUGAAUGUGAAUUUGUAUAGUGAUUAAAUUGCUUAACAAUCUUUGUCUUGUUGAAACUGCAUCUUGUUUCACGAACUGAUUACGUACUACACUUAGAUUUUCAUAUGUAUAUUUUGUAAAAGUCUAUGGGUCUUACUCAUUCUUAAAAGACGUCUUGAGAAAAGAGGAGACACCAUAGCUUAUAAAGUGUCAAGGUGAAGGAAAUCUUAGCGAUGUGGGACACUUUAACACGCCCCCUCACGUGUGGCAACUAAUGGCCAAACACGUGGACAACAACGGGAGGGAAAGACCCAUCAUCGCAAGAAACCUGUGGCUCUGAUACCAUGUAAAAGUCUAUGGACCUUACUCACUCUCAAAAGACGCCUUGAAAAAGGAGGGGACACCAUGCCUUAUAAAGUGCCAAGCCAAAGAUUGCGACUGGCAAGACAUGAGAUUAUCACAUCUAAGAUUAAAGCUCAUGCAGAACUUGUUAAUUCUUCAAGGUCUGGCAUUGGUCAGGGUGACCAAACUGCAACUAUAGGUCUUCCUUCUAUGAAAGGACAGUUAGGAAAGCUUCCAGUUGCCAAAACAGAAGGGCCAGAAUGGGAUUUCUCUGACUGGGACUCUUUUGGCAGUAAGCCCUGUCUCGCCUGUGAUGUCUCUCCCACAGGAAAAGCACAGGCUUCCGCAAGAGAGUUUUGGACUCAUUCUUGGAUACUGUUAUUCGGAUAUUUGAGAAUCAUGUUGUUGUUGGAGAGAUUCUGGAGUCAAAAUCCACUCAUCAAACUGAAGUGAACACACCAAGGUCAAUUUCAACAGAUUGGAACCUCGAUUCUGAAGCAUCUCGAGUUACUGGGGGCUACAGCAUUGGGUUUUUUAGACAGUUUUGCAGAGUGAAUGCCAACAACUCAUUUGUGAGAUUCUGCGAGCAACUCCUGAAGCUGCGUCUGCAGAUGCUGCCGGUCAAACAGCUAGACUUACAAGCAAGCCCCCUUCCAAGGAAAAGAGG